rnacentral:rRNA from 1 species
UUAAAAAGCUCGUAGUUGAAUUUCGGAAUUUGUCGGUUGGUUGGGCUUCACUGUCCGCACUGGCCUGAUGGAUUCCUACCUUCUGAAUAACCAGCAUGCUAUUAAUUUAGUGCGUUGGGGAAGCAGAGCUAUUACCUUGAAAAAAUUAGAGUGCUUAAAGCAGGCUCACGCUUGAAUAGAUUAGCAUGGAAUAAUAAAAUAGGACGGCUUGGUUCUAUUUUGUUGGUUUCUAGGAUCACCGUAAUGAUUAAUAGGGAUAGUUGGGGG